rnacentral:rRNA from 1 species
UACGUAGGGGGCAAGCGUUGUCCGGAAUCAUUGGGCGUAAAGCGCGUGUAGGCGGCUCGGUAAGUCCGCUCUGAAAGUCCAGGGCUCAACCCUGGGAUGCGGGUGGAUACUGCCGGGCUCGAGUCCGGAAGAGGCGAGUGGAAUUCCCGGUGUAGCGGUGAAAUGCGCAGAUAUCAGGAGGAACACCGAUGGCGAAGGCAGGUCUCUGGGCAUUAACUGACGCUGAGGAGCGAAAGCAUGGGGAGCGAACAGG